GCGGGUGUGGCGAAACUGGAAAACGCGGCGGUUUCCAAAACCGCUUACCUCCCAAAGGUUUUUGCGGGUUCGAGUCCCGCCAUCCGCA
rnacentral:tRNA from 1 species